GGAAGUAAAAGUCGUAACAAGGUUUCCGUAGGUGAACCUGCGGAAGGAUCAUUACCGAGAGACGGGGUCUAACCGGCCCUACUCUUCACCCGUGUAUAUCUCUCCCUGUUGCUUUGGCGGGCCGCUGGAUCUUCAGCGCCCUCGCAGGACGGUAGUCCUGCUCGGCGAGUGCCCGCCAAAGGCCUUUAAACGUUCUAUAUCCAUGGCGUCCGAGGAAUAUUUCAAUAGUUAAAAACUUUCAACAACGGAUCUCUUGGUUCUGGCAUCGAUGAAGAACGCAGCGAAAUGCGAUAAGUAAUGUGAAUUGCAGAAUUCAGUGAAUCAUCGAAUCUUUGAACGCACAUUGCGCCCUCCGGUAUUCCGGGGGGCAUACCUGUUCGAGCGUCAUUAAACCCAUCAAGCCUUGCUUGGUUCUGGGACUCGCCCGCCGCGGCGCUCCCCAAAAGCAGUGGGGGUCCAGUGAGACUUCAAGCGUAGUAAGAUUUUUAAUCCCGCCUAGAAUGUCCUUGCGGGGCCCGCCAGCCAAACCGAAGCUUGUCCGCUUCUACGAUUGACCUCGGAUCAGGUAGGGAUACCCGCUGAACUUAAGCAUAU
rnacentral:rRNA from 1 species